rnacentral:rRNA from 1 species
GACGAACGCUGGCGGCGUGCUUAACACAUGCAAGUCGAACGGAAAGGCCCUGCUUUUGUGGGGUGCUCGAGUGGCGAACGGGUGAGUAACACGGGAGUAACCUGCCCUGGACUUUGGGAUAACUUCAGGAAACUGGGGCUAAUACCGGAUAGGAGCUCCUGCUGCAUGGUGGGGGUUGGACAGUUUCGGCGGGUGGGGAUGGACUCGCGGCUUAUCAGCUUGUUGGUGGGGUAGUGGCUUACCGAGGCUUUGACGGGUAGCCGGCCUGAGAGGGUGACCGGCCACAUUGGGACUGAGGUGCGGCAGAGGCUCCUACGGGAGGCAGCAGGGGGGAAUAUUGCACCAUGGGCGGAAGCCUGAUGCAGCAACGCCGCGUGCGGGAUGACGGCCUUCGGGUUGUAAACCGCUUUCGCCUGUGACGAAGCGUGAGUGACGGUAAUGGGUAAAGAAGCACCGGCUAACUACGUG